AAUUUUGCGACCUAUUAUCUAAAUUGUGUGUUAAUGAAGGCCUGUACUGCAGUUUCCUGCAGACAACGUGAAACAUUGCUGAGGGAGAACUUUAUUCACAACAAAAGGAUAAAGAUGUAGAGGCGGGACUUGAGCAGCUUGUGAUGGCUGUAAUUGUAAAGAAUGGAUCUUCUUGGAGUGGCAGCACGAGGGAUGCUGGAAUUGUUAUCAAGGCCUUAAAGGUGUUCCCAGGGCAUGCUUUAUCCUCAUUGGAUUGGAUUAGAUAUAUGCAUUGAAUCUCCAGUAUCCCAGGCAUCUUUUCAGACUGCCGUGGUGCCUGUUGAGAGCCCGUCUGGCUCAGCCCAUCAACCCUCCUGUUUCUCCCCCUGUGGUCCCGCUGCGGAGGUUUGGUAAUUUGGUCGGCUUCUCCCUGGUGGUUGGGUAGAGAUUGCCCGAUCGUUCAGGCUUCUGCGCUGCGGCGCGUGCAGGAGCGGUCUACGUGCCUCCCCUCAUAUUGGGGCCCCAGUCGUCUGUGUAGCUCGCUGUGCCGAGGACGGCCGGGGCAUCUCCUAUCUCUCUGUUCCGUGUCUCAUCAGGGUUCAGAUACCGGAGUAAUUCCCCGGUUCGAAGAGGGUCGAGGACGGCCGAGGCAUCUUCUAUUUCUCUAUUAACCAUCUGCAGCCUUUUCUGUUAUCUUCAUUGU